rnacentral:rRNA from 1 species
UACGUAGGGUGCAAGCGUUGUCCGGAAUCAUUGGGCGUAAAGCGCGUGUAGGCGGUCCGGUAAGUCCGCUGUGAAAGUCGGGGGCUCAACCCCGGAACUGCAUUCGAUACUGCCUUGCUAGAGUGCUGGAGAGGAGAUUGGAAUUUACGGUGUAGCAGUGAAAUGCGUAGAUAUCGUAAGGAAGACCAGUGGCGAAGGCGGAUCUCUGGACAGCUACUGACACUGAGGCACGAAGGCCAGGGGAGCAAACGGG